rnacentral:misc_RNA from 1 species
CCCGCCAUAAGUGGUGGUUCCAUCGUAGUACUUGGCACCAUAAGUAAGUAUCAUUUGUGGGCAGUAAUUUUCAAGAUUGUUUGUGCAGUUAUCGCAGGAGUGGCAUGAUCCAACCAUGCAGCCUACACCCACUUUAUCUCCCACCUUGAAUUUUUCUACCUUGCUCCCCACCUCUGUCACCACUCCCACAAUCUCAUGCCCAGGGACGAGAGGGUAAGUAGAAGAGCCCCAUUCAUUCUUGACCAUGUGAAUGUCCGAGUGACACAUCCCACAAUACAGGACUUUAAAAGAAACGUCUUUCUCUCCCGUUGCCCUCCUGGAGAAUUUGAAGGGAGAGAGAACGCCAGAUUGGUCUCUUGCUGCCCAUCCGAAUGACUGUUUGGGAUGCUCUUUCUCUGGCAAUUUAGCUACCAUUUUUCUCUUUUCACCUAGUUAGAUUUGCAGAGAGUUU